GACGAACGCUGGCGGCGUGCUUAACACAUGCAAGUCGAACGGAAAGGCCCUGCUUUUGUGGGGUGCUCGAGUGGCGAACGGGUGAGUAACACGUGAGUAACCUGCCCUUGACUUUGGGAUAACUUCAGGAAACUGGGGCUAAUACCGGAUAGGAGCUCCUGCUGCAUGGUGGGGGUUGGAAAGUUUCGGCGGUUGGGGAUGGACUCGCGGCUUAUCAGCUUGUUGGUGGGGUAGUGGCUUACCAAGGCUUUGACGGGUAGCCGGCCUGGGAGGGUGACCGGACAAAUUGGGACUGAGAUAAGGCACAGACUACUACGGGAGGCAGCAGUGGGGAAUAUUGCACAAUGGGAGGAAGCAUGAUGCAGCAACGCAGCGUGCGGGAUGACGGCAUUCGGGUUGUAAACCGAUUUCGCCUGUGACGAAGCGUGAGUGACGGUAAUGGGUAAAGAAGCACCGGCUAACUACGUG
rnacentral:rRNA from 1 species